rnacentral:lncRNA from 10 species
GGACAAGGCGGGGACCCGGGCGGGGACCGGGGCGGGGGCGCGCGGGGGCCGGGGUGGGGGUGUCUCGCCGCGCGCGCCCUCCUCCCGCUCCUCCGGGUUCCUGGUCCCCAGCCUGUGGGGGGCUUGGGCUGUAGCGCUGGGGCGGGGGCUUUAGAUCACCCCGAAAACAGGACCUCUGGCGACCUUCUCGUUUUCCACCGGGAGCGGAGAGAGCCGAUCUCCUUUUCCUGCUAGCCCCGUAGGACAGUCCCCGGAGCAGCUCAUAGGAAUAUGACGAACGUUUACUCAGGGCUGGUUACUAUGUACACUGCGCCCCGCGCGCGGCGAGUUUACCUCGGUUCACCUCCCGGCAACCGGCGGCCCGGAUAUUAUCAGAUGCUGUGGGCUUCCCGGCGCCUCAUUGCCCGAGGAGAGGCGGCCGCAGGUAGCUGAGCUGGAGCUAGCACAAGGCUUCCUUUUCCCCAUGAGAUGGCAGAAUGGCUGCUUACAAUUUCAGAUCACACCCUUUCCAGCAGAAAGGGAGUUUCUUUUCCCUGAUGCUGUCAACAAAAGUCCCAGGACUACAUCCCAUUGGUCUAACUUGUGUUACCCGUGCAUCACUAAACCACUCUCCUGAGAAGGGGCAUGGAACAUUCUGACAGCUCCUCACAAAUCGCGUGGACUGAGAUUUGGGGAGAGGUGGCUUCCUGUGCUAGAUCAUUUCUGUUGGCCCUUCCAGACCUACUCUCCACCCUUUUCCUUCCUGAUUUGAACCUCAAGAGGCCAACCUGCAUGGACUGCUUCCACAGAUCCCUUGUCCUCUGACUUACAGUUGAAUUCACCAAAUAGAAGACAUUGGAAAUGAGACCCGAGGGUUGGAGGAGGAGGAAGCCUGCAAUGUGAACACGAUGGCUGGAGCUCCGGCAGCCAUUCUGGACCAGGAGGUAGCCUUGAAGAUGGAAGCCACAUGUUGGGAUGGUGAAUCCAAAAGAUGAGGAGCCUGUAUCCCCUGUGACACCAGAACUGCCAUACCAGCCCUGGGUUCCUCCAUCUAUACUGCCUUCAUAUGGUAAAGAAAUAUUCUUGGAUCUUGUUAGGUGUCUGUUGCAGCCAAACACAAUCCCAACUGAUAUUCACUGUAAAUGAUUCCAUGGCUCCCUGUAGUACUUCUACAAAGCAUCUAUCACAAUUGUAAUUAAUAAAAUAAUUAUGCAAUUACUGGUUUAAUGCCUAAGUCCCAAGUAGAAUAUCAGUUCCAUGGGGGCAGGGAUUAGUCUGUUCAUGGAUGUAUUCCCAGCUCCUGUAACAACAUCUGGUUCUGGUAGGUGGUAAGUGCACAAUAAAUGUA